rnacentral:rRNA from 1 species
GAGUUUGAUCCUGGCUCAGGAUUAACGCUGGCGGUACGUCUAAUACAUGCAAGUCGAACGAAGUUAUGGGUGCUUGCACUAAUAAUUUAGUGGCGAACGGGUGAGUAACACGUGGGUAAUCUGCCCUUAAGUUGGGAAUAACAUUCGGAAACGGAUGCUAAUUCCGAAUAACAGAUCUGGAGGCAUCUCUAGAUUUUGAAAGGAGCCUUUAAAGCUUCGCUUGAGGAGGAGCCCGCGGCGCAUUAGCUAGUUGGUGAGGUAACGGCCCACCAAGGCAAUGAUGCGUAGCCGGACUGAGAGGUUGAACGGCCACAUUGGGACUGAGAACGGCCCAAACUCCUACGGGAGGCAGCAGUAGAGAAUCUUCGGCAAUGGGGGCAACCCUGACCGAGCGAUACCGCGUGAAUGAAGAAUUACUUUUAGUAUGUAAAGUUCUUUUAUUUAGGAGAAACGAUAGGUAGAGGAAAUGCUACCUAGAUGAUAGUACUGAAUGAAUAAGCCCCGGCUAACUAUGUGCCAGCAGCCGCGGUAAUACAUAGGGGGCGAGCGUUAUCCGGAAUUAUUGGGUGUAAAGGGUGCGUAGGCGGAAAGUUAAGUUUGAAGUUUAAAUUAAGUGCUCAACGCUUAAUCGCUUCAAAAACUGGCUAUCUAGAGUAAGGCAGAGGCAAGUGGAAUUCCAUGUGUAGUGGUAAAAUGCGUAAAUAUAUGGAGGAACACCAGUGGCGAAGGCGGCUUGCUGGGCCUAAACUGACGCUCAGGCACGAAAGCGUGGGGAGCAAACAGGAUUAGAUACCCUGGUAGUCCACGCCGUAAACGAUGAAUACUAGGUGUUUGGGGAAACCUAAGUGCCGCAGUUAACGCAGUAAGUAUUCCACCUGAGUAGUACGUGCGCAAGCAUAAAACUCAAAGGAAUUGGCGGGACCUCGCACAAGCGGUGGAUCAUGUUGUUUAAUUCGUGGAUACGCGAUGAACCUUACCAGGUCUUGACAUCCAGGGCAAUGAGUAUAGAAAUAUAUUCGGAGGUAUUCCCUGAGACAGGUGGUGCAUGGUUGUCGUCAGCUCGUGUCGUGAGAUGUUAGGUUAAGUCCUGUAACGAGCGCAACUCCUAUUGCUAGUUACCAUCAUUUAGUUGGGUACUUUAGCAAGACUGCCAAUGACAAAUUGGAGGAAGGUGGGAAUGACGUCAAAUCAUCAUGCCCUUUAUGGCCUGGGCUACAAACGUGAUACAAUGGUUGAGACAAAGGGAAGCGAAGUAGUGAUAUGGAGCAAAUCCCAUAAAGCCAAUCUCAGUUCAGAUUGAAGUCUGCAACUCGACUUCAUGAAGAUGAAAUCGCUAGUAAUCGUAGAUCAGAACGCUACGGUGAAUACGUUCUCGAGGUUUGCACACACCGCCCGUCAAACCACGAAAGUUAGUAAUACCCAAAACCGGUGGCCUAACCCGUAAGGGAGGGAGCCGACUAAGGUAGGGCU